GACGAACGCUGGCGGCGUGCCUAAUACAUGCAAGUAGAACGCUGAAGAGAGGAGCUUGCUCUUCUUGGAUGAGUUGCGAACGGGUGAGUAACGCGUAGGUAACCUGCCUUGUAGCGGGGGAUAACUAUUGGAAACGAUAGCUAAUACCGCAUAACAAUGGAUGACACAUGUCAUUUAUUUGAAAGGGGCAAUUGCUCCACUACAAGAUGGACCUGCGUUGUAUUAGCUAGUAGGUGAGGUAACGGCUCACCUAGGCGACGAUACAUAGCCGACCUGAGAGGGUGAUCGGCCACACUGGGACUGAGACACGGCCCAGACUCCUACGGGAGGCAGCAGUAGGGAAUCUUCGGCAAUGGGGGCAACCCUGACCGAGCAACGCCGCGUGAGUGAAGAAGGUUUUCGGAUCGUAAAGCUCUGUUGUAAGUCAAGAACGAGUGUGAGAGUGGAAAGUUCACACUGUGACGGUAGCUUACCAGAAAGGGACGGCUAACUACGUGCCAGCAGCCGCGGUAAUACGUAGGUCCCGAGCGUUGUCCGGAUUUAUUGGGCGUAAAGCGAGCGCAGGCGGUUUGAUAAGUCUGAAGUUAAAGGCUGUGGCUCAACCAUAGUUCGCUUUGGAAACUGUCAAACUUGAGUGCAGAAGGGGAGAGUGGAAUUCCAUGUGUAGCGGUGAAAUGCGUAGAUAUAUGGAGGAACACCGGUGGCGAAAGCGGCUCUCUGGUCUGUAACUGACGCUGAGGCUCGAAAGCGUGGGGAGCGAACAGGAUUAGAUACCCUGGUAGUCCACGCCGUAAACGAUGAGUGCUAGGUGUUGGAUCCUUUCCGGGAUUCAGUGCCGCAGCUAACGCAUUAAGCACUCCGCCUGGGGAGUACGACCGCAAGGUUGAAACUCAAAGGAAUUGACGGGGGCCCGCACAAGCGGUGGAGCAUGUGGUUUAAUUCGAAGCAACGCGAAGAACCUUACCAGGUCUUGACAUCCCGAUGCUAUUUCUAGAGAUAGAAAGUUACUUCGGUACAUCGGUGACAGGUGGUGCAUGGUUGUCGUCAGCUCGUGUCGUGAGAUGUUGGGUUAAGUCCCGCAACGAGCGCAACCCCUAUUGUUAGUUGCCAUCAUUCAGUUGGGCACUCUAGCGAGACUGCCGGUAAUAAACCGGAGGAAGGUGGGGAUGACGUCAAAGCAUCAUGCCCCUUAUGACCUGGGCUACACACGUGCUACAAUGGUUGGUACAACGAGUUGCGAGUCGGUGACGGCAAGCUAAUCUCUUAAAGCCAAUCUCAGUUCGGAUUGUAGGCUGCAACUCGCCUACAUGAAGUCGGAAUCGCUAGUAAUCGCGGAUCAGCACGCCGCGGUGAAUACGUUCCCGGGCCU
rnacentral:rRNA from 1 species